UACGAAGGGGGCUAGCGUUGUUCGGAAUUACUGGGCGUAAAGCGCGUGUAGGCGGGUCUUUAAGUCAGGGGUGAAAUGCCAGGGCUCAACCUUGGAACUGCCUUUGAUACUGGGGACCUUGAGUCCGGGAGAGGUGAGUGGAAUUGCGAGUGUAGAGGUGAAAUUCGUAGAUAUUCGCAAGAACACCAGUGGCGAAGGCGGCGACCUGGUCCGAUACUGACGCUGAGGCGCGAAAGCGUGGGGAGCAAACAGG
rnacentral:rRNA from 1 species